rnacentral:tRNA from 1 species
UAGCCUAGUGUUAAGGCUAUGGAUCGCCAAUCCACAGACGGCGGGUUUGAUUCCUGU